GAUGAACGCUGGCGGCGUGCCUAAUACAUGCAAGUCGAGCGAACAGACGAGGAGCUUGCUCCUCUGACGUUAGCGGCGGACGGGUGAGUAACACGUGGAUAACCUACCUAUAAGACUGGGAUAACUUCGGGAAACCGGAGCUAAUACCGGAUAAUAUAUUGAACCGCAUGGUUCAAUAGUGAAAGACGGUUUUGCUGUCACUUAUAGGUGGAUCCGCGCCGCAUUAGCUAGUUGGUAAGGUAACGGCUUACCAAGGCAACGAUGCGUAGCCGACCUGAGAGGGUGAUCGGCCACACUGGAACUGAGACACGGUCCAGACUCCUACGGGAGGCAGCAGUAGGGAAUCUUCCGCAAUGGGCGAAAGCCUGACGGAGCAACGCCGCGUGAGUGAUGAAGGUCUUCGGAUCGUAAAACUUUGUUAUUAGGGAAGAACAAAUGUGUAAGUAACUAUGCACGUCUUGACGGUACCUAAUCAGAAAGCCACGGCUAACUACGUG
rnacentral:rRNA from 1 species